GAUGAACGCUGGCGGCGUGCCUAAUACAUGCAAGUCGAGCGAACGGACGAGAAGCUUGCUUCUCUGAUGUUAGCGGCGGACGGGUGAGUAACACGUGGAUAACCUACCUAUAAGACUGGGAUAACUUCGGGAAACCGGAGCUAAUACCGGAUGAUAUUUUGAACCGCAUGGUUCAAAAGUGAAAGACGGUCUUGCUGUCACUUAUAGAUGGAUCCGCGCUGCAUUAGCUAGUUGGUAAGGUAACGGCUUACCAAGGCAACGAUGCAUAGCCGACCUGAGAGGCUGAUCGGCCACACGGGAACUGAGACACGGUCCAGACUCCUACGGGAGGCAGCAGUAGGGAAUCUUCCGCAAUGGGCGAAAGCCUGACGGAGCAGCGCCGCGUGAGUGAUGAAGGUCUUCGGAUCGUAAAACUCUGUUAUUAGGGAAGAACAUAUGUGUAAGUAACUGUGCACAUCUUGACGGUACCUAAUCAGAAAGCCACGGCUAACUACGUG
rnacentral:rRNA from 1 species